UACGGAGGGUGCAAGCGUUAUCCGGAUUUACUGGGUUUAAAGGGUGCGUAGGUGGGUUGGUAAGUCAGUGGUGAAAUACUUUCGCUUAACGAAGGAACUGCCAUUGAUACUACCAGUCUUGAAUACAGUGGAGGUAGGCGGAAUGCGUCAUGUAGCGGUGAAAUGCUUAGAUAUGACGCAGAACACCAAUUGCGAAGGCAGCCCACUAAGCAAUGAUUGACGCUGAGGCACGAAAGCGUGGGGAUCAAACAGG
rnacentral:rRNA from 1 species